GCUCUCAGGCCCCGCCUCCCCGGGGCCGGCUCGGGCCACUUCUUGCGCGCUGCCAGAAGGAGCUAUUUUGAGCAGAAUCUAUUUGCUGAUCUCCAGUCUAGAGUGUUACUGAUGGGUUUCUGACACAGAAAUAUCUGGCUGAGAUGGUCCAACAUACCGGGAAACUCAUUCUCUCCUAUGAGAAAGUCAUAUUCUCUGAUAGCAUCUUUGGUCACCUGAAACCUAGUGUCCAUUGAAGGCACAGCUCUGGGAACUGCAAAACUGUUCUGUGGAGUGUUAUGGAGAGUAAAGCCAGGCAGACCAGCUGCUUCUGAGGGCUGUGGAUAAAAUAGAGAAUGAUACACUUACAUCCUCUACCUUUUGUUUCCAGGCACAGAUCAUUUCAGGUGCCUUCUGUGCAGAAAUAGCUGAAUAAACUUGGAGCUUGGUCUCUUUGUUGUUGAA
ensembl:lncRNA novel transcript